UGAGGAAUAUUGGACAAUGGGCGCAAGCCUGAUCCAGCCAUGCCGCGUGCGGGAAGAAGGCCUUCGGGUUGUAAACUGCUUUUGUACGGAACGAAAAGACUCCUUCUAAUAAAGGGGGUCCAUGACGGUACCGUAAGAAUAAGCACCGGCUAACUACGUGCCAGCAGCCGCGGUAAUACGUAGGGUGCGAGCGUUAAUCGGAAUUACUGGGCGUAAAGCGUGCGCAGGCGGUUAUAUAAGACAGAUGUGAAAUCCCCGGGCUCAACCUGGGAACUGCAUUUGUGACUGUAUAGCUAGAGUACGGCAGAGGGGGAUGGAAUUCCGCGUGUAGCAGUGAAAUGCGUAGAUAUGCGGAGGAACACCGAUGGCGAAGGCAAUCCCCUGGGCCUGUACUGACGCUCACGCACGAAAGCGUGGGGAGCAAACA
rnacentral:rRNA from 1 species